rnacentral:rRNA from 1 species
UACGUAGGCAGCGAGCGUUGUUCGGAAUUACUGGGCGUAAAGAGUGUGUAGGCGGUGCUCUAAGUUCGGUGUGAAAUCUCCUGCUUAACUGGGAGGGUGCGCCGGAAACUGGAGUGCUUGAACGUGGGAGAGGAAAGCGGAAUUCCUGGUGUAGCGGUGAAAUGCGUAGAUAUCAGGAGGAACACCUGCGGUGUAGACGGCUUUCUGGACCAUUGUUGACGCUGAGACACGAAAGCGUGGGUAGCAAACAGG